rnacentral:lncRNA from 1 species
GUUGGCAUUGUUGAAGUCCGGUUGGCACUGUUGAAGGUUGAUGGCUGGAGAGGUAUGGAAGACACCAGAGAUAGUCGGUUACUAUAGAAAUUUGACUGCUAAAGCCCGUCCGUUGUAGCAGUUCAUCUAGAAUCCAUCCGCUGUAGAAGUUCGGACGGAGUCUGAUUCUUGUAGGAGUCUGAAAGGAGGCCGCUUACUGUA